ACAGGAUCCACUCAGGAGAGUCGGGGCAAGGCUGGCUGAGGUUCUCAAGGAGCUGAGUUUUGAGUUCAGGUGCCUGCGUGGCAGUGGAAUGAUGCUUCCUGACCUCUCAGACCUUUGAGACCUCUGGGCGGUCUUAGACUUCACCUGGAGCCUCCUGUCCAGCAUGCGACCAUCUAGGGGAGUUCCAGGGAAAGGUGGCAGAGAUAUCAUGGACUGAAAGGUGAUGGGUACCCCAAUGAGCUCACUACAAGAUCUCAAAGAUUCCAAACCACUGGCUGCUCCAAAGCAUAAAGCCACCCUUCUGGAGAGUCGGCAGGAAGGAAGCCUGGCGGAGGCUCUGCUUUUGGCCAGAGGACAGACCACCUCCUCAGGUCUCUGGGGGAACUGCUGAAGGACAGUGAGGAAGAUGUUGCUGGUCCCCAGGACAGAAACAUAGCGGCUGGAGCCAGGAAGCACCUGGAGUGGGACUCAAGCCCAGCACCCCUUCAGACCGAUGCUCUCUGAGCGGCGUGUGGUCCUGGAUCGGACUGUUUUGGCUUUGCCAUCACGUGCAUAACACAGUUCUAGAUGCUUUUAAACGGUUGGCUUUCUUUCCUUCCCCCCACCCACUGUCUUUUCUUUUUCUUCUCUUGGCCCUGAGAACUGUAAGAAAAGAAUUGUUUUAGAAAGUAUAAUUCUC